CACAGGCAGCUGCUGCUCCUGCAGCUCCUCUGCAAGCCCGAUGAGCGUGGCCUGUGUCCUCUCAUGCCAGCUCUGCACCCACCCAGACGCCACGGCACGGCACACAUGUCCCUUUGGGGAAGCGGAAGUGAUGGGGAAGGGGAGAAGAGACAGCGUGAAAUCAGGAAGAGCCAGAGGGUAAGCGCUGGCACAUGUGUGGCUGCCAGGACGCCCGGUACCAGCAGCUGCUCAUCUCCUGUCACCCACCUGCGGUAUGACAGGCCCUGUGACCGACCCACAGCACCCGGGGGGCCUUUGGAACUUUUCUGCACUGAGAGAAAAGCAGUGUCACAGCGGAGGCAGCAGCGGGACAGAGAGCUCCUCGAGAGGCUCCUGUCAGCCGCCAGUCCCUGUGCCGGCCAUCUGAGGGAGGCACCCCGCAGACCCCGGAGCUGCACCCCCAAACCCGAACUCCAGCGGCGACAGGUGCCACAGGGCUGGGCAGCUGUGGGACCCUUUUGUGGGACCCCAUUGCAGAGGUCCUUUGUGGGACCCCCGUUGUGAAACCCUUUGCAGCCCCUCUGCGGAGCCCCCCUGCUGAUCAACAAACCUCUAAUAUUUGUGAGAAUACCUUUGAUUUUAUUUUUCUUCCUCUCUUAGAAGAUGCUUUCAUUUAAAUUUAAUAAAGGAAAAAUCAGUCUUUCA